CUGGUUUGGGUUCUCAGUAUGAAAUAAGGCUAAAUUACAGAAUUAACACAGGGGAUUCAAAUUAUAGGCUACACUUAAAGGCUGUUUCUGGAUAGAAAGUUGGUGCAACUGGCCCCAUGGGGAUUCUCCAUGUGAGCUCAGAGGGAUAUUCUGUUGUCAGAGCCAGGGACUAGACUAGCAGAUGACAGAAAAACUGAACCUCUUCAUACUGAGGAAGCCUGGCUUGACAAACUCUUGGAUCUGGGGAGAAUCACAGAAGUGCAUGAGUACUAGUGUCGUUUAUGCAAACGUUAGAGCAGGGGUCGGCAGCACUUUUGGCCAAGCACCAAAAACCCUGGAGUCUGGACUUCAAAGAUGUUGGCUUGCCAGGGAGGGACAGUGGAGAAGCCACAAGGGGCCCAUCUUUGUCCUGGCAGUGCACCCCCAGCCCUUCUCUGCUAUGCUCCCUGAAGUGCACAUGUAGCUGCUGCUAGUAACGAGCUGGGCCAGGGCUCCAGAUCCUGGUACAGCCACUUGCAGCCUCCCUGCCACCUGCUGCAGGCAGCCUAGGCUCUGUGGCUGGCAACAACUGCCCAGAGCUCAGACCAGCAGUGGGAUGCCAAGCAAUAUGGCCUCAUGUGACACACAUGCUGGGUUGCCAACCCCUGCAUUAGAGGAACCAUGGAUUCCAGGGACAAAAUGACUGACUAGAUGUUCUAGCUUGUGAAUAUUCCAUGAAAACAUGGAGAACCAGAACCUGUCCACCAGAACUUCCUGCCUUUCCACCUCUCCCUGCUGAAUUUUGUGUUUCAGGGUGAAGCUUUAGCUGAUUGGAAAUGUCUACGUGUCAUGCAGGACAAGAGGAUUUCAGUACAACUUUUAGAUAUAUUGAAAAACAAUGACAUAACAUGAUACUGGUUAAGAAUAGGCCUGAACUGGAAUAACUAGAUCUAAA
rnacentral:lncRNA from 1 species